GUCCCACCACCCCGGGUAAAUAAAAGGGGGGAACGUGUAUUUGGAUUUAUUUGGGGAAAAACACCCCCGGGGGGGUUGUUAAUUACAAAUAUAAAUACCCCGGGCUUACCUCGGGGAGUCCCUUCCGAAACGGGUGGCUAGAAUCGGGUGGGGGGGGGGGGAAUUCCUCCGGGGGCGCGGAAAUAGGUGAAAUUUUGUGGGAAUACCGCGUGCGGAGGAGGGCCCUCUUGGGUAAAACAGACGCUGAGGGGCGAAAACCGUGGGGGCAAACAAGAAGAAUAGAUCCCCUUGUUCCACACCCCAUAAAAGAUGUUUUAUAAGCGGGGGGCCCUUAGAGGUUUUUGCCGCAGAUAUAACGCUAUAAAUAGACCCCCUGGGGAAUGCGGUCCCAAGUAUAAAACUCAAAAGAAUUGACGGGGGCCCGCACAAGGGGGGGAGCAUGUGGUUUAAUUUGAUGCAACGGGAAGAACCUUACCUGGCUUUGACAUAGUAAGGACUUUCCAGAGAAGGAUUGGUGCCUUUGGGAAAUUACAUACAGGUGGUGCAAGGGUGUUGUCAACUUGUGUUGUGAGAAGGUGGGUUAAGUUCCGCAAAGAGGGCAACCCUUUUCCUUAUUUGCCAGCGAGUAAUGUCGGGAACUUUAAGGAUACUGCCAGUGACAAACUGGAGGAAGGCGGGGACGACGUCAAGUCAUCAUGGCCCUUACGGCCAGGGCUACACACGUGCUACAAUGGUCGGUACAAAGGGUUGCUACCUAGCGAUAGCAUGCUAAUCCUCAAUAAAAGCUCGCAUCGUAGUCCGGAUUGGAGUCUGCAACUCGACUCCAUGAAGUCGGAAUCGCUAGUAAUCGCGGAUCAGAAUGCCGCGGUGAAUACGUUCCCG
rnacentral:rRNA from 1 species